AGUUUCGAGUCAGUAUAUUACUUGUAUUUUUAAACCACAAAGGUUUUUGGUGGUCUUCAGUUGCGCCUUUUAGUGUUUUUUGGAUAGUUUUUUUUUCUAACCCUGGAGGAACUUUUCUAACCACAUAGUCUUUCAUUGGAUCAUUUUACCUCUUUGCAAGAGUGGAGGUUGCAAUCAGGUUGGUCAGGUCCUGGAUAUGUAGAUGUGUACCUUUUCCACGCACCUCCUGCCCACCUUUCCUAUAUCCAAGGCUAGAUCUGAGAUUCAACAAAACCUAAACAGCUUUGCCCGAUUGAAGCAGAACUUAUUCUGUUUUUUUUUCUUUCCCUAUUGUCCACCAACUCCCCAAAACCUCUAAACCUGCAGACUUCCUUGGAUUCUUGAACGUUUGUCUCAGUUUCCUGUUAAAUCCGUGGAAUGUUGUAAAAUGGUGCAUGUAGUUAAGAUGACGUAGCCAUGCCUCGUUAUGCAUUUUGCUCCACAGUGCUUCCAUCACUGCUCAGAUUCCAUGUAAAUGGUCUUAUGUAAUAAGACUUCCACCCUUUAGUGCUGUAGGCAGUAGUUAGUUAGGUCGAGCCCAAACCAAGACCACAUGGAAGUCAGAAGCAUGCACCACGUGGAUCUGCCUCUCUGCAGGACUCCGUGUUCAGGAUCAGCUUGAUUUAAUCUGGUUUGACACUUUCACCAAAGGCUAGAGACGUCCGUUUUCUUAAUCUAACUUGUGUAAAACAUUCAGAGCCAAGAUUUUAAGAGCUCAGACCUUUAGAGAGAGACUCACUGGUUCUGCCCAGCUCCGUUCUCUCUGAGACCAACAGACAUGAUUAUCAGACUGGGACGCCUGACUCCUGGAUAUUUCCGUCUCCUGCAGAGGCAGGUAGCCGGUGAGGUUCAGACCCAGCCUCAGGACCGCUCCCUUAACCAGAUCGCCAUGAUGCUGGCCAUUAUGGGUCUUAGCCUGUCCUACUACAGUGCCAAACAGAUGACCGAGAAGGUGCGGCGUGACCCGGUGCCCUGAACACAACCAUGACCUCCUGAUCCAUUUCAAUCCUGGAGGUAGAAUAGAAACUAAAUCAGAGAUGGAGACUUGAAGACUUUAUCCAGCACUUUUUAUACACUAACAUUAUAAGCCUGGAUAUUCUGAGGUCAGCCAGCAUGAGAUGAGAUGAGUUCAGGGUUUUUAUCAAGCGAUGUCAACAAAAAUAGUGUUCAGAUGCGGCCUACGUCUUUACAGUUGCGUUGGUACAUUCAUCAGGGUUCCUUAGUGCCUCGAAGGCCAGAGCUUUGGUUUAGAAACUUCUCAAUAAUUCAUAUUUAAAGGGAAGGAGACAGUCACUAAUGCUUUGACAGAGAAUAAAUGCCUUUUAAAGGGAAACCCUCUGCUUUUAUGUAUCAAACAGCUGUAGAAAGCAGGUUGCUUUGAACACUUGGGAUAUUUUUAAGGCUGCUUAAAUGGACACAAAGCGCACAGGAAUCCUGCAAGCUUGUACUGGAAGGGCAGUACUGAACUACACUAUGAGAUUAAAUAAAAGGUCUGUUUUGGUUUUAAAUAUAGAUUUAUUUUGCUGUACUGUUAUAAGUAGCCAUGUUUGUCAAGUUUUAUGAGAACGAAUUAAAAUGUUAACGUGCAUGUGUGAGUAUUUUAAAGAAUCCAGUAUGUGAUAUUGUCAUGAAUGUAUGUUGAUAUUUAAAACUUGAUGAAAUAAAGCUGUGAGCAUUUUGGACAAGUCAGUGAUAUACUGGCUGAAAAACGUGCAACGAAUGUGAAGCGGGAUGAAAUAUUACAUUAAUGGCAUUUAGCGGACGCUCUUAUCCAGAGCAACGUACAACAUACCCAGAGCAGCCUGGGGGUUAGAUGCCUUGCUCAAGGGCACUUCAGCCAUUCCUGCUAAUCCAGGAAAUCAAACCAGUGACCUUUUGGUCUCAAAACCACUUCUCUAACCAUUAGGCCAUGACUUUCCUAUAUUGCUCAACAAAGUCAGUCUUUCCCCAGGCAGGAGCUUUACUGUAUAUUUACUAAGCACAUGAUGGGAAAUUUGUGGGAUAUUAAGUAUCCUCGGAUGUUAAAUUUAUUAUAUUAAAACUGUAGAUCUGUUGCUUCACUUGAAAAUCCCCAUAUUAGCCAGUUUGAGAGGAAGUAGCUUAAAGGCUUUGUGCAUAAACAUUUUUUUGCUGCUGGUCAGAUGCUCGUUGAUAAAAUUUGCACAGUUUCUGUGCUCAAAUGCCAGGUGAAAGAAUUCUUAUUCUUAUAAGAUCUGGCUCAGCAAAAUCAUUUCCUGUAUCUCCACAGAAGCAUGCAAUCUGCUAAACAGGAAGUGGUCAUGCACGCAGAUAGGAACUUCCUCCAUGCGUUGGCCGAGUAAUAAUGUAGCACCUCAAUGGUGUGCAGGAAUAGUGCUAGCUUUAAGUAUGUGUGGGGAAACUGUAGUCUAAGUUGAUGGAUUAAAUUUAGGAUGCUAGCACAGGCUCGAUGUAUUUGUGCCUUCGGUGCAAGUUCUCACCUACCUUGAUUUCACACUAGAAAGUGCCGUGGUGCUGAAGGUGCUCCAGGCUGAGCUUGAGCAAGCUUUGUCUUUUGCUUAUUAUCGUCUAAUGAUAUCCUACAAAGGCCAAUGUUCCUGCAGGGUUUCAUUCUCACCAGGCACAAGUACUAAUUAACAGUUAUUCCACGAAAUCGAGUCGUACAUGAGCUGAUAGCGGCUAUAAGCCAUGUAGGACGAGAUUGAGUGGAAUAACUAUUUUUAUUCUAUCCACAUUCACUGGAUUUUAAGAAACAGAGCAUUUUUAUUUUUUGCAAAUUCGAUUUAAAAAAAAAACCUUUAUACGGAACGUCCGACAAAAUCAUUUCCACUUAGAAUGUAAACAAACCAGCGAAAUGACAGUAGCAAUUUGUGAAAAAUGCGAUAAUUAUUGAAAAAAAAGAUACGUUCUUACCAUCAAAUACUUUUUUGUUGCUUUUUGGGGUUUUGUUUUUGAGUAUUUAUUUCAUCCUUGUGGCGGCACGGUGGUGUAGUGGUUAGCGCUGUCGCCUCACAGCAAGAAGGUCCUGGGUUCGAGCCCUGGGGCUGGCGAGGGCCUUUCUGUGUGGAGUUUGCAUGUUCUCUCCGUGUCCGCGUGGGUUUCCUCCGGGUGCUCCGGUUUCCCCCACAGUCCAAAGACAUGCAGGUUAGGUUAACUGGUGACUCUAAAAUUGACUGUAGGUGUGAAUGGUUGUCUAUGUGUCAGCCCUGUGAUGACCUGGCGACUUGUCCAGGGUGUACCCCGCCUUUUGCCCGUAGUCAGCUGGGAUAGGCUCCAGCUUGCCUGCGACCCUGUAGAAGGAUAAAGUGGCUAGAGAUAAUGAGAUGAGAUGAGAUUUCAUCCUUGUUUGGUUCAGCAACACGCUUCGCCAUUUUUUUUUCUCUCUCCUCAUGGUAUAUGCACUGAUAGCCUAGUAGUAGAGUAGCCAGUCAGAAUAUGUGAUUACUCAUAUCCAGUGAAUGUGGAUGGAAUAACACCUGAUAUUCAAUGGAAAUCUACGAUCAACUGACUGCACAGAUAGAAUUAGACGUGGUUUGUCUUGAUUGUCUGGAAUGAAAACCUGUAGUCACACCAAAGUUUUAUGUCAAGCACUUCAAUAAGAACCGUGUGGUUCCUUGUUACUUCCUGGUGUAAGCUUGGGGUUACAUUUGAUCAGUUCUCAGAGACGAACUUGCUGAAAAAUAUCUGAGCUCCUUUAGCAUGAGAGAGGCACAGUUAUGCGCAUAAGAAUCCUUGCAGAUCUGUUCGCCUAAAAAUAUUGAAAGGAAGCAACGUUUGGUUGGAGUUAAAGUGGCAUUGUGUACAAAACCGUUCAAGUCUUUUUAAUUUCCGCUCGGUUUGUUACACUGGAUCAUGAAGAUAUCGUGCAUGAUGCUCCCUCCACACAUGGGAGAUGCUGCUGGGUAUUUUACCCCUCCCAUCCUGUGCUGAUUCACUUGGGAGAUGUGAUGCACUCUGACAGGGCGGAACACUGUCUGGUUAAACGGGAACCUCUCCCACCAGUACGCAUCACUGGGCAAUUCGACCACAAAAAAUUCAACCCGGGAAGGCAAGUUCAGGACAUGAGAGCUGUGCUCCCAUUGGCUGGUGUGAUAAUGUAUCAGGAAGUCAUAACAAUUCUGAGCCAUAGAGACAAAGCAAAGGGAUCACGCCAGAGAUACGGAAGAGAUACAGACAGAAAAUGGAUGAAAAGGGAUGUAGGCUUAAUAUGUGCUCAGUCGUUUAUCUUCCUUGCUUCGAUAACUGGAGCAGGAAUGUGUCUGAAGUAUCUGUUUAAAAAACUGCACUGUUUCGAGUUAAGGAAUUUGCCUUCUUACAGUUUGUGUUUUUGAAGAGGAUUUCCUGAAGUUUUACAUUCAUUUUGUAAAAGACAUCACUGCGUGUCCAUUUCCUCUUUAUUAGCUUGUUGCUAUGUUUGUGAUGCCUAAAUAGAGUGCAAUAACAAUAUUAAUGUACCUUGUACGUCUGUCAUGUUGCUACUACAACUGUGAAAUAAAAUGUUAAUG